UCAAGAUGUACAUUGCCUUUGUGUUCAAGG
rnacentral:piRNA from 1 species